GACGAACGCUGGCGGCGUGCUUAACACAUGCAAGUCGAACGGAAAGGCCCUGCUUUUGUGGGGUGCUCGAGUGGCGAACGGGUGAGUAACACGUGAGUAACCUGCCCUUGACUUUGGGAUAACUUCAGGAAACUGGGGCUAAUACCGGAUAGGAGCUCCUGCUGCAUGGUGGGGGUUGGAAAGUUUCGGCGGUUGGGGAUGGACUCGCGGCUUAUCAGCUUGUUGGUGGGGUAGUGGCUUACCAAGGCUUUGACGGGUAGCCGGCCUGGGAGGGUGACCGGCCACAUGGGGACUGAGAGACGGCCCAGAGUCCUACGGGAGGCAGCAGUGGGGAAUAUGGUACAAUGGGCGGAAGCCUGAUGCAGCAACGCCGCGUGCGGGAUGACGGCCUUCGGGUUGUAAACCGCUUUCGCCUGUGACGAAGCGUGAGUGACGGUAAUGGGUAAAGAAGCACCGGCUAACUACGUG
rnacentral:rRNA from 1 species